rnacentral:rRNA from 1 species
CUACGGGCGGCUGCAGCGAGGAAUAUUGCACAAUGGGGGGAACCCUAAUGCAGCAACGCCGCGUGGAGGAUGACGCAUUUCGGUGUGUAAACUCCUUUUAUAUGUCAAGAAAAUGACGGUAGCAUAUGAAUAAGCACCGGCUAACUCCGUGCCAGCAGCCGCGGUAAUACGGAGGGUGCAAGCGUUACUCGGAAUCACUGGGCGUAAAGGACGCGUAGGCGGGUUGGAAAGUCAGGUGUGAAAUCCUACAGCUUAACUGUAGAACUGCACUUGAAACUUCUAAUCUAGAGUAUGGGAGGGGGAGAUGGAAUUAGUGGUGUAGGGGUAAAAUCCGUAGAUAUCACUAGGAAUACCUAAAGCGAAGGCGAUCUCCUGGAACAUUACUGACGCUAAGGCGUGAAAGCGUGGGGAGCAAACAGGAUUAGAUACCCCUGUAGUC